rnacentral:rRNA from 1 species
UGGGGAAUAUUGGACAAUGGGGGGAACCCUGAUCCAGCAAUGCCGCGUGUGUGAAGAAGGCCUGAGGGUUGUAAAGCACUUUCAGUGGGGAGGAGGGUUGAUUGGUUAAGAGCUGAGCAAUUGGACGUUACCCACAGAAGAAGCACCGGCUAACUCCGUGCCAGCAGCCGCGGUAAUACGGAGGGUGCAAGCGUUAAUCGGAAUUACUGGGCGUAAAGGGUGCGUAGGUGGUUAGAUAAGUUAUCUGUGAAAGCCCUGGGCUCAACCUGGGAAGGCCAGAUAAGACUGUUUGACUGGAGUAUGGGAGAGGGUAGUGGAAUUUCCGGUGUAGCGGUGAAAUGCGUAGAGAUCGGAAGGAACACCGGUGGCGAAGGCGGCUGCCUGGCCUUAUACUGACACUGAAGCACGAAAGCGUGGGGAGCAAACAGGAUUAGAUACCCCCGUAGUCC